rnacentral:rRNA from 1 species
GCGACGAUGCGUAGCCGACCUGAGAGGGUGAUCGGCCACACUGGGACUGACACACGGCCCAAACUCCUACGGGAGGCAGCAGUAGGGAAUCUUCCGCAAUGGACGAAAGUCUGACGGAGCAACACCGCGUGAGUGAUGAAGGUUUUCGGAUCGUAAAGCUCUGUUGUUAGGGAAGAACAAGUGCCGUUCAAAUAAGGCGGCACCUUGACGGUACCUAACCAAAAAGCCACGGCUAACUACGUGCCAUCAGCCGCGGUAAUACGUAGGUGGCAAGCGUUGUCCGGAAUUAUUGGGCGUAAAGGGCUCACAGGCGGAUUCUUAAGUCUGAUGUGAAAGCCCCCGGCUCAACCGGGGAGGGUCAUUGGAAACUGGGGAACUUGAGUGCAGAAGAGGAGAGUGGAAUUCCACGUGUAUCGAUGAAAUGCGUAAAGAUGUGGAGGA